GAACGUAAUAGAAGCACAAAAAUUACAAAUUAACAACAAGUCAAUUAGUGGUGCAGGCUACAUGCUCCGCUGCUGAAACGUUUCUGAGACGCUUCCGGUGGACGUUGACGCUGGGCUAAGGAUGGAACAAAACCGUGGCACAGCCGUAAUGCGCCGGAGUCAGUGGACUUUUGGAGUGAGUGCAUCUGAAGCCCCCACCGGAGAAUCAACUGUGCCUCCCUCCACCCUUCCAGCACAACUUGUCCACUGGCCAUCAUCAACACCAGUUGCUAUCCAUAGGAUCCAUGGACAGGAAAAUGUAAAAUGAAGUAAAUCUAUCAGCUCUCCCACUUAAGAUUGGUGUGAUACUGAAGGCCAACAAAGAACAACUAUCCUUGGUGUUGGAGGCAGACAGAGCUGAACUGGAAACCAUGGCAACACAGUGUUUGUCUCUCUAAUCCCUUGGCCCUGCCAGAGAGUAGACAAAUACCUGCGCAAGCCCCAGCCUAUUCAACACCUGCAUUAAAAAAAACCUUCCCAAUCUGCACAAUAUCAAAAUACAUCAGGGAGUAACUGUUUUGAUGGACUAUUCCUACAGUAUCUUCGUGUCACACACCACCACAGACAAACAGGUGUUGUUUCCAUCCUGUCUGUUUAAUUCUUCUUGUAAAGCAUUUACAGUGUGGAGAGACCAGAUUUCUUUCUCUCAAAUCAAAUGUACUAAGAUAGCACUUGUGUUGGU